CCUUUUAGUACAGCGAGAAAGGAGCUGGGGCCAGCCAGACUUGCUUCAAAUUGGCUUUACCUUAGCGGAGCUGCUGACAGUUCUUGGAGCAAGCAACUGUGGCAGAUCUGGAUUCUACAUCUAUAGAGAAACUUGAAGAGAACCUCAGGGAAGAGCCACCCUUGCCUCCUACCUUAACACUUCUAGCACCUGUGCCGGGACAUUUCACACGUAGAGUAGAGACGUUAGAAUAAACUCUAUGGGUAUUCUUCCCAGUCCAUGAGUAUACUUGAAUCAGAAAAUGAAAUUCUUUCAGUAUUUAGAGAAAAUUCCUACUCUGAACCAAGAAGUUCACAUAUUUACAGGAACUUUCUAGCUGUGAUGGAGCAUAAUCAUUGCUAAAAGGUGUCUCUUGACAUGGAAUGGUGGCCUUGAUGGGACUUGGUGGCAUUAGUUAAUGCCCGAGGGAUGGAAAACAUGCAAGAGUGGAGGUCUUCACUGAUUUGUCUUCUCUCUCCUCUGUUUUACCCACUUCCUGGAGAAACAGGACUGCAGGCACCACCAGUAACAAGCUGUGGUAUGCCUCCCUGUCCCUGGUGACUCUCAUCAUGUACUCUGUUGCCGUCGGGGGCUUGAUUGUGAUGGCAGUAUUUUACACACAGAAAGUCGGCUGCAUGGAGAACAAGAUUAUCCUGGGAUUAAACGGAGGCCUGUGCCUGCUUAUUUCAAUGGUAGCCAUCUCACCCUGUGUCCAAAAUCGUAAGCACACUUUUUUUUUUCUUUUCUUCCACGUUUCUAAAUGUCUUUGAACAAACUCAGUGGGGUUUUGUGAAACCAGGGCCAUUCUUUAACCUACUGUAGAUGGGUCAGCAGUAGGAGGGAUGGGGUGCCAGUCUCCUCUUCAUGUUCUGUACCUGUGCUAACCAGGUUUACCUGUGGCCAAAAAGGUAAACUUAAUGAACUUAAUGAAGGAGGCUUUAAAUGGAAGUGUACUUAGCGUAUGUUAAGCAAGUUGUUUAUGAGUUUUGUCUGUGACCUCUGGGUGAAACUUAGGUGAUGGGCUCUGGAAGGAGCUGUUUCUGGGGUCAUCUUUCACACAAGGCUGUGGAGAUAGCAAGGACAGUGUGGUCUAGGCUUCAGGAAGUAGGAACUCCUAUCCCGGCAGCAGCUGGCCUUGUUAGCUAACCUUCCUCAGGCCCAGGCUCUUCUUCAAGGAAGUCAGCAGAAACAUGGGAGCCUGACCUUGCUUAGGGUGUUUCAAAGCCCCAAAGGAAUAGGCCACGUGGUUUGAAAAUUGCUUCAGAAAGUAGAAGUGUGAAUUGUCAUUUGUACGUUACCUCUGAUGUCUCUGAUGUUUUCUCUUUGGGUUAGAGAGAUGUUCCUGGUCUGGUGUUUCUUGUAGUGAUCUCAUUGUAUAGAUGUUUCACAUGCAUAGGACAUUCAGAUUUCCAGGUAGGAAAAGACAAAUACGGACAGUAAGUUUGCAGCCCACUUGAAUCCUUUCUAAAACAGUGAUCAAACUCUUGGCGUUUAGAUUAAAAUCUCUUUUGGGUUAAACCCUACCUUUUGAAAUAGGUUUAACAUUUUGAAAUAUUUGGUUUAAUGCCAUUAGUUGCUAAGUCAGGUCUUAUUCUCAGGCCAAAGAGCAAUAUUAUAAGUGAGUCUAUUCCUAUACCUUUAUGGAUAAUUAUAAUUCAAGAAUGAUCAUUUUGGAAACAAAUUUAACCAGAGGGAAGGCUGAAUAUUUUCAUGUCAACAGAUAGUUGAAAAUUUUACCAAAAAAGAGAAAAUCCCUUGGCACAUACUGGUUACUCUGAAUGAUCCAAACACAAAGUUUUAAUUUAAAUAUUAUAACUUUAAAACUCUUCUCCCAGUGAAUAUCAAGCCUCAUACCUUUCUUCUUUAGCCUGGACUAUCUUUUGUACUCAUUUAGUGUGCCCCACCACUCCCCCUUUUUUUUUCAUUGACAGAUAAGGUAUUGUGUGUGUGUGUGUGUGUGUGUGUGUGUAGGGGUGGGAGGGUUUGCCAUCUUGGACUACAGAGUAUCUAAUAAUCUUGUAGAAUCAUCCAGGAUGCACACCCUGAGAAAUCUGUCUUAUUUACUCUGCUAAAUUAUGUGGUGUCACAAAAUAAUGGUGGUAAUUUUUUUUUUUUCCUGAUCUUGUGGUUUAAGAACUAAAGUUAUAAACCUCAGGGGAACUAAGCAGUGUGUUUAUGGAUAGUUACAACUUUGAUAAGGUGUUGGUGGAGAACUUGGCAGAAUUUGGCAUGUCUGAAAUAGCAGCAUUAGGCUGGGUGUAUAACUCCCUCCCCCUGAAUUUUAAGUUCUAUAUGGGAAACACAUUAUAUAUGUCUUUUCUCUCCCAGAGGUGCGCCUUCAAGUUGAAAGAAUGUAAUUGGGGCUGGGGCAGGGGGAGGGGGCCUAUUAAGACUGAUCUUCACUCUGUCUCUUGUCAUUUUCUAGGUCAGCCACAUUCUGGGCUGCUGCAGUCAGGGCUCAUCAGCUGCUACGUCACAUACCUCACUUUCUCAGCUCUGUCUAGCAAACCUGUAGAAGUAGGUAAGCCAGCCUUGUUAGAAGCACGUGUCUGUUGUGUGAAUAUAUUCAUGAGCUGUUGUUAAAAUAUCCAAGAUUCAAUAAAUCAAAGAUGAUGAUCUAGACUUUUUCAAGAAACAAAGUCUUUGACUUGGGCUAUAAUGAAAAUUCCUUCUUCUGGGUCUUCUUGCUGUUAGUCUAUUUUGUAUUUUGCUGCUGUAUUGUUCUCAAGGAAUUUUUUUUUUUUGCUUUAUUUAUGUUUUUAGUUGGUUAUUAAUUUUCUUCAGGAGCUUAUUUCUCUGUAACAGAGACAAAAUGGAAAGAUAUGGCAGGAGAAGGAAGCAG
rnacentral:lncRNA from 1 species